AAUAGAUACCCGGGUAGUCCACGCCGUAAACGAUGAGUGCUAAGUGUUAGAGGGUUUCCGCCCGUUUAGUGCUGCAGCUAACGCAUUAAGCACUCCGCCUGGGGAGUACGGCCGCAAGGCUGAAACUCAAAGGAAUUGACGGGGGCCCGCACAAGCGGUGGAGCAUGUGGUUUAAUUCGAAGCAACGCGAAGAACCUUACCAGGUCUUGACAUCCUCUGACAACCCUAGAGAUAGGGCUUUCCCCUUCGGGGGACAGAGUGACAGGUGGUGCAUGGUUGUCGUCAGCUCGUGUCGUGAGAUGUUGGGUUAAGUCCCGCAACGAGCGCAACCCUUGAUCUUAGUUGCCAGCAUUCAGUUGGGCACUCUAAGGUGACUGCCGGUGACAAACCGGAGGAAGGUGGGGAUGACGUCAAAUCAUCAUGCCCCUUAUGACCUGGGCUACACACGUGCUACAAUGGAUGGUACAAAGGGCUGCAAACCUGCGAAGGUAAGCGAAUCCCAUAAAGCCAUUCUCAGUUCGGAUUGCAGG
rnacentral:rRNA from 1 species